rnacentral:piRNA from 1 species
GGGGAGGGCCUAAAACACACUCUGGAGCCC